CCCGCUGAACUUAAGCAUAUCAAUAAGGCGAGGAACAGAAACCAACAGGGAUUCCCUCAGUAGUGGCGAAUGAAGCGGGAAAAGCUCAAGUUUGAAAUCUGGCGGGCGCACUGUCCAGAGUUGUAAGCUGGAGAGGUUGUUGUCGGACAUGGCCCCAGGCUCAAUUUCCUUGGAACAGGAGGUCAUGGAGGGUGAGAUCCCCGUACAUUGUUUGAAAGUGUUGGUCAUUGCUAUGCGAUGCGCUAGAGUAGGGUCGAUUGGGAAGGGAGCUCAACUCAAGUCGGAAGGUCCAUUCCAUCUUAAGCUAAAUAGAGGCGAGAGUCCCAUAGCGAUCGAGUUCCGUGAGGAUGAGAUGUACUGCGCUUUGGAAUGAGAGCGAUACGGUACGUGAUAUUGUUGAGAGGCGAUUCGCUUGCAGUCAGUCGCUGCCGUCGGACAUUGAGGCUUGCCUCCGCUGUGCGCUCGGCGACCGUGGGGUACGCAGUCAGCUAUUCCUGCGGGAGACAGGCCUUUAAGAAGUGGCUCCCUCUUGGGGAGCUUAAUAAUCCUUGGCGUCAUGCAGCUCGGUGGAGCUAAGGUUCGCGGACUAUGUCCCUAGGACGCUGGCGUAAUGGCUCCAAGCGGCCCGUCUUGAAACACGG
rnacentral:rRNA from 1 species